UCCCGAAUAGCUCAGUUGGUUAGAGUGUGGUACCAGGUUGCAGGUUCAAUCCCUGUAUGGGAC
rnacentral:tRNA from 1 species